rnacentral:rRNA from 1 species
AUACGGAGGGUGCGAGCGUUAAUCGGAAUUACUGGGCGUAAAGCGUACGUAGGCGGUUGGGUAAGUUAGAUGUGAAAGCCCCGGGCUUAACCUGGGAACUGCAUUUAAAACUGGCGAACUAGAGUUGAGUAGAGGGGAGUGGAAUUUCAGGUGUAGCGGUGAAAUGCGUAGAGAUCUGAAGGAACACCAGUGGCGAAGGCGACUCCCUGGACUCGAACUGACGCUGAGGUACGAAAGCGUGGGUAGCAAACGGGAUUAGAAACCCCAGUAGUCC